AGCACAAGCGGUUGAGCAUGUGGUUUAAUUCGAAGAACGCGAAGANCCUUACCAGGUCUUGACAUNCCUCUGAAAACCCUAGAGAUAGGGCUUCUCCUUCGGGAGCAGAGUGACAGGUGGUGCAUGGUUGUCCGNCCAGCUCGUGUCGUGAGAUGUUGGGUUAAGUCCCGCAACGAGCGCAACCCUUGAUCUUAGUUGCCAUCAUUAAGUUGGGCACUCUAAGGUGACUNCCGGUGACAAACCGGAGGAAGGUGGGGAUGACGUCAAAUCAUCAUGCCCCUUAUGACCUGGGCUACACACGUGCUACAAUGGACGGUACAAAGAGCUGCAAGACCGCGAGGUGGAGCUAAUCUCAUAAAACCGUUCUCAGUUCGGAUUGUAGGCUGCAACUNGCCUACAUGAACGCUGGAAUCGCUAGUAAUCGCGGAUCACCNNGCCGCGGUGAAUACGUUCCCGGGCCUUGUACACACCGCCCGUCACACCACGAGAGUUUGUAACACCCGAAGUCGGUGGGGUAUCCUUUUUGGAGCCAGCCGCCUAAGGUGGGACACGAUGACUUGG
rnacentral:rRNA from 1 species